GAUGAACGCUGGCGGCGUGCCUAAUACAUGCAAGUCGAGCGAACGGACGAGAAGCUUGCUUCUCUGAUGUUAGCGGCGGACGGGUGAGUAACACGUGGAUAACCUACCUAUAAGACUGGGAUAACUUCGGGAAACCGGAGCUAAUACCGGAUAAUAUUUUGAACCGCAUGGUUCAAAAGUGAAAGACGGUCUUGCUGUCACUUAUAGAUGGAUCCGCGCUGCAUUAGCUAGUUGGUAAGGUAACGGCUUACCAAGGCAACGAUGCAUAGCCGACCUGAGAGGGUGAUCGGCCACACUGGAACUGAGACACGGUCCAGACUCCUACGGGAGGCAGCAGUAGGGAAUCUUCCGCAAUGGGCGAAAGCCUGACGGAGCAACGCCGCGUGAGUGAUGAAGGUCUUCGGAUCGUAAAACUCUGUUAUUAGGGAAGAACAUAUGUGUAAGUAACUGUGCACAUCUUGACGGUACCUAAUCAGAAAGCCACGGCUAACUACGUGCCAGCAGCCGCGGUAAUACGUAGGUGGCAAGCGUUAUCCGGAAUUAUUGGGCGUAAAGCGCGCGUAGGCGGUUUUUUAAGUCUGAUGUGAAAGCCCACGGCUCAACCGUGGAGGGUCAUUGGAAACUGGAAAACUUGAGUGCAGAAGAGGAAAGUGGAAUUCCAUGUGUAGCGGUGAAAUGCGCAGAGAUAUGGAGGAACACCAGUGGCGAAGGCGACUUUCUGGUCUGUAACUGACGCUGAUGUGCGAAAGCGUGGGGAUCAAACAGGAUUAGAUACCCUGGUAGUCCACGCCGUAAACGAUGAGUGCUAAGUGUUAGGGGGUUUCCGCCCCUUAGUGCUGCAGCUAACGCAUUAAGCACUCCGCCUGGGGAGUACGACCGCGAGGUUGAAACUCAAAGGAAUUGACGGGGACCCGCACAAGCGGUGGAGCAUGUGGUUUAAUUCGAAGCAACGCGAAGAACCUUACCAAAUCUUGACAUCCUUUGACAACUCUAGAGAUAGAGCCUUCCCCUUCGGGGGGGCAAAGUGACAGGUGGUGCAUGGUUGUCGUCAGCUCGUGUCGUGAGAUGUUGGGUUAAGUCCCGCAACGAGCGCAACCCUUAAGCUUAGUUGCCAUCAUUAAGUUGGGCACUCUAAGUUGACUGCCGGUGACAAACCGGAGGAAGGUGGGGAUGACGUCAAAUCAUCAUGCCCCUUAUGAUUUGGGCUACACACGUGCUACAAUGGACAAUACAAAGGGCAGCGAAACCGCGAGGUCAAGCAAAUCCCAUAAAGUUGUUCUCAGUUCGGAUUGUAGUCUGCAACUCGACUACAUGAAGCUGGAAUCGCUAGUAAUCGUAGAUCAGCAUGCUACGGUGAAUACGUUCCCGGGUCU
rnacentral:rRNA from 1 species